rnacentral:rRNA from 1 species
GACGAACGCUGGCGGCGUGCUUAACACAUGCAAGUCGAACGAUGAAGCUGGAGCUUGCGCCGGUGGAUUAGUGGCGAACGGGUGAGUAACACGUGAGCAAUCUGCCCUUGACUCUGGGAUAACUGCGGGAAACUGUAGCUAAUACCGGAUAUGAGGCUCGAAGGCAUCUUCGGGUCUGGAAAGAAUUUCGGUCAAGGAUGAGCUCGCGGCCUAUCAGCUUGUUGGUGAGGUAAUGGCGCACCAAGGCGACGACGGGUAGCCGGCCUGAGAGGGUGACCGGCCACACUGGGACUGAGACACGGCCCAGACUCCUACGGGAGGCAGAAGUGGGGAAUAUUGCACAAUGGGCGAAAGCCUGAUGCAGCAACGCCGCGUGAGGGAUGAAGGCCUUCGGGUUGUAAACCUCUUUUAGCAGGGAAGAAGCGAAAGUGACGGUACCUGCAGAAAAAGCACCGGCUAACUACGUGCCAGCAGCCGCCGUAA